rnacentral:rRNA from 1 species
UAGGGAAUCUUCCGCAAUGGACGCAAGUCUGACGGAGCAACGCCGCGUGAGUGAAGAAGGAUUUCGGUUCGUAAAACUCUGUUGUUAGAGAAGAACAGCGCAUAGAGUAACUGUUAUGCGUGUGACGGUAUCUAACCAGAAAGCCACGGCUAACUACGUGCCAGCAGCCGCGGUAAUACGUAGGUGGCAAGCGUUGUCCGGAUUUAUUGGGCGUAAAGCGAGCGCAGGCGGUCAAUUAAGUCUGAUGUGAAAGCCCCCGGCUCAACCGGGGAGGGUCAUUGGAAACUGGUUGUCUGGAGUGCAGAAGAGGAGAGUGGAAUUCCAUGUGUAGCGGUGAAAUGCGUAGAUAUAUGGAGGAACACCGGUGGCGAAGGCGACUCUCUGGUCUGUAACUGACGCUGAGGCUCGAAAGCGUGGGUAGCAAACAGG